UAUUCUAGAUUUGAUGUGGUGUAGGAAUGUUAAUAGUAAUAGUGAAAUGUAUAUAGAAUUGGUAUAAAAUAAAUUGGAUAUUGGUAGCUUGAAAAGGUAGAUAUUCGAUUCACGAAAGCUUGAGGUGUGACAGGGAUUUGAGACCCCUUUAAUUCGAGACUGAAAUUAUGCAGGCAAUGUUUGUGGAUCUCUUUUUAACAAAUAAAGGUUCUUUUCCUAAGGAGUACGCUUUCACUUGUGAAACUUAAAUGUUCUGGUGGUGGUUUAGAACAAUAGUGGAAUAGAUGAUUUAAUUCGAUGAAAUGCGAUAAAGCUUAUCUGUUAUCUGAAAUAAUACCUAGGUAUAGGUAGAAUUCUAUUCGAGGUAGUGCAUGGCUGUUGGAUGUUUUGUAAUAUCUGGUUUCGGACAGGAAUAGCCGAUACACUUUUAGUUGUUAUAGGUCUUUUGCAUCUUUUCAUAUGGUCUUUUAGAUAGAAUAACGUCGAGUCAUUAUGCUCUUUAGUUCGGAGAUAUUCAUGUGUUACUAGGAGAGGUAUAUA
rnacentral:rRNA from 1 species